UAAAAAACUACACGGAAGAGCUGAAAGUGCCCCCAGAUGAGGACUGCAUCAUCUGCAUGGAGAAGCUGUCCGCAGCGUCUGGAUACAGCGAUGUGACUGACAGCAAGGCAAUCGGGCCCCUGGCUGUGGGCUGCCUCACCAAGUGCAGCCACGCCUUCCACCUGCUGUGCCUCCUGGCCAUGUACUGCAACGGCAAUAAGGUGGCCCUGAGCACCCCAAUCCCGG
rnacentral:lncRNA from 1 species